rnacentral:rRNA from 1 species
AAGACGGCCCUACGGGUUGUAAACUGCUUUUAUACGGGAAUAAACCUACUUACGUGUAAGUAGUUGAAUGUACUGUAAGAAUAAGGAUCGGCUAACUCCGUGC